CACGUAGGGUGCGAGCGUUGUCCGGAAUUAUUGGGCGUAAAGAGCUCGUAGGCGGUGUGUCGCGUCGGCCGUGAAAACCUGCAGCUUAACUGUGGGCUUGCGGUCGAUACGGGCAUCACUGGAGUUCGGCAGGGGAGAUUGGAAUUCCUGGUGUAGCGGUGAAAUGCGCAGAUAUCAGGAGGAACACCGGUGGCGAAGGCGGGUCUCUGGGCCGAUGACUGACGCUGAGGAGCGAAAGCGUGGGGAGCGAACAGG
rnacentral:rRNA from 1 species